rnacentral:misc_RNA from 1 species
GCAACAAAACGCGGUCCACACUCGUCGUUCAGCUUCCAAGGCCGCACUUCUCGUCGCAUUUUCUUCACCCAUAAACAGGCCGUGCUCGGAUAAGCAGACGGAUAAAAUCAGAGCAGCCUGGGGCCGUUUUCUUCUAGUUUCAGGAUAUUCGGAAGCGGCGUGGAUCGCCAUCUUUGAAAAUUCGCCUUCCGCACCGGGUCGCGGGUGCCAACGCGCAUGCGUGGCGGCCCGACACGCAACCUCUCCUCCAUUAUUCUCCUCUCCCCUUGCUUGUCGUCCUCCUCUCGUCUAUCUGCCAUUGGUCAAAAAAGCGCGGGAGGAAUAAGCGUCGCCCGCUCAUUGGUGCGUGCUAUCAACUGGGGGUCCCCGUCGCUGGUUCCGUGGAGGAAAAACACCCCAGCCCGAACUGCUCGAGUUCAGUACCGCUUGGGACACGAAGAACGUAGGCCGCCACUUCGGUGAGCCGCGCAACGCCGGACGAAUGCAAGCUACUAGUCCAAGUCCAGAAUAGCUGACGUCGCGGCGGCACAAGAUCGGGGCUCAAGAUGGGGUCCCAGCAGUUCUGCCUCAAGUGGAACAACCACCAGUCGAACAUGCUGGUUGUGUUCGAGCAGCUCCUAUCCAACGAAGCGCUGGUGGACGUGACGCUAGCCUGCGAAGGUCACUCCCUGAAGGCGCACAAAAUGGUCCUGUCUGCGUGCAGCCCGUUCUUCCAAGCGCUGUUCGUCGAGAACCCCUGCAAACAUCCCAUCGUGAUUCUCAAAGACAUGCGCUACAUGGACCUCAAGGCCAUCGUAGAGUUCAUGUACAAGGGCGAAGUGAAUGUGUCGCAAGACCAGCUGUCGGCGCUGCUCAAGACUGCCGAAACGCUGAAAGUAAAAGGCUUGGCUGAGGUGACGGGCGACAACAGGCACGGCCUGGUGAGUGUGGAUGGUGCAGACGCGAGGACUAUCAGCACUGCGCGGCCCGAGUCGCCGCCCAUGUCGAAGCGGAAAAGAGGCCGGCCGCGGAGACGCUCGCCGAGCGACUCGAACAAGUCCGACUCCGAGGACCAGGGAGCUCCGCCGGCGACGCGCAUCAAGGCGCCCGAGUCUCCGGAGAUCAUCGAGGACGGCAGCAUGUCGAGCGACCGCGUGACUGCGGCAGCGGUGGCCGCGGAGUCUCCGGCGGCGAGGACUUCGUCGGCGGCUGUGUUGACGGCAGUGUCUUCGUCGGCGUCGACGGUGGCGCUCAGUAACAAAGUGGUGGGGGGUCUGCCGGCGUCGGCGUUGACGGCCAACUCGAUGUCGUCGCAGCAUACUCAGGACUCGGUGGGGGACGACACGGGGGUGGACGGGGACGAUGCGGACUUUGAGGUGGAGCCGUCGAACCUCAUGGAACAGUCGAUGACGACCGAAAACGUGCCAGUGUUCGCGGACGUCGCAUCAUCAUCACAAGCGGCGGCGCUAGCGUCGGAGUCGCAACAGUCACAUCACACAGGGUCAACGUCCGACAACUCUGCGCUAGUUCCUGUUCCUGCCUCAUUGCCUUCAGACAUCUCAAUCUCCAGUCAACUCGACAUCAAGCCCUCCCCGUCUAGUUUAAUACCGCCGUUCGACGAGCAAGCCAUCUCCCCCGUGGUUCCCCCGCAGCCGGCGGGCUCCGCGGAUGGUUCGUCGAGCGCCAUGAUGAUGGCGUUCACGGACAUGUCGGGCGUGCCGGCCAUCGCUGGACCUUCCAACUACCACCCGGACAAGCAGCAGUCUACGCCUUCCCACGAGUUCUCCAUGUACGCAGAAGAGGCAGAAGAAGUAGAUACGGACCGCAGCGAUUCCGACGAGGAGGUGGCAGACGAGGAAGAGGCGGAAGACUCCGGCGGCGGCCACCUGCUCUACGGCCACCUGACGGGCAUCCAGUCUCUCCCGUCAUUGCCAUCCCUCCAGCGCACGCCCGGCGCGGUGUCGCUCCACACGAUGACGGGCCAGGAGACGGCAGUGGAACUGAUGGAGGACCAGAUGAAGUCGAACAUGAAGCGCAUUGUGUGCCCCAUCUGCCAGCAUAGCUUUGCCAACAAAGCCAACUUCAAGCGGCACCAGCUUCUACACUGGCCCGUGCGGCGCAAGUUCCCCUGCUUCCUGUGCCCCAAGCAGUUCAACUGGCCGGACGACGUCAAGCGCCACAUCCGCAGUGUCCACCACCUCAACGUCGACCCCAGGACGCGCAAGAACCAGUUCCCGGGCAGCAAUGGGGCCAGCGGGGGAAUCGUGUGAGAAAGGGGGACCUCGGAGGACUGCUAUUCGACUUUGGAAACUCGGGUCCUUGUGGAUUUGAAGUGACCUCGAAGGACUUCUGGUCGACUUUGGAGACUCGUGCCCUCAUAUCCUUGAGGUGACCUUUUAGGACUUCUGGCCUACAUCUGUUUAGAACCAAUCUAAAAGAGUGAUGUUCUUUUUUUUUUUUUUUGCCUGUUGUGGGGUGUCCCCUGGCCUGGGGUGACCUGGAACUGUGACACUUGACCUUGAAGUGACCUUGACAGACAGCCUUGUGACUUCGUCUGCCAGUAGCACCUUCUGCUGCACUUGGUGUUGUUGUUGGUGUUGUCACAGUUGCCGAGCCCGCUCGCAGGAAGGGUUGCCUUUACCCCGGCGCAAACGAGGCUCAAGAGGAACCGGCCGUCUGCUGAUACGCAUCGUCGAGAGUCUCUCGCGAAGCCGCGUCUUCAUUGCCGGGACGUUGUUGUUGUCGUGUCGCACCUCUCGUGCUUCUGUGUUGGCCCUAGUGUUGUUUCAUGCACCUCAAGACUUCAAGACGGGUUUUCUUUUUGUUUCAAUAUUUUUUUUCACAGAUUCUUCACCGUUGUCUUGGUUGCCCCAUGUUUGUGAUUGUUCUCUGGAGUGACACAACGGUUUUGAGUGUGCCUGACUUCUUUUAGAGAAAUACGGGAAGCGAUGCCGGGAAAGCCCACGUCGAACGCUUUUAACACGAGGGUCUACUUUGGUGUCUGUAUUUUUACCGCAUUUUUAUUUUGGGACUUAGCGCCGGCUGUCGCUGCUUUCAAGCUUUGAGCUGUUACGACGGUUUUUAUUUGGGUGUUGCCAAAUACGAGGGUUAAGAGUCCCGAAGUUGAGUUUCUAAGAUGUAUACUUUUUUUACCGUCUUCCAAGAAGACGUCUCUACAUUCCAGUGGCAAGUCUGCUCGAGAGUGGUGUACGACGUCAGUCAGAAAUGUCGGUUGCCGCUCGUAAGGUUGCCAUAUAUAUGUUUUAAGUAAUAAGAGAUAAAAAGAAUAUGACGUGAUAGCUUAUUGAAAUGCACCGUGCGACGUGAAUGACAUGCAUUGUGAGCGACGCCCAACGGGAACAAUGUGUGCUGCAUUCGUGACGGCCAUAGUUUCUUACGCGUAGCAAGUUACUCGUUAGAAGCGCAUCCCCUUCCGACGUUGACCUCGAUUUGCUAAUCGAGAUCACCACCCCCUUCAGUCGGUCCCCAUUCAAAAGCUGUGAAAGUCACUCUCGGGGUGGGCUGUCACGUGUGAUACUGACGGCCUCUCUCUCGCUUUUUCGGGUGUGGCAUUUUUUCUUCACUCAAAUGUGUUUUACUUCUCUCCCGUCACGCACCUAUGUCCUCCUCACGAAUUUGUCGCUUCUCUUUUUCUACCUGGAUAACCGGUUUUUUAUGCCGCUCCGUUCCAGCGCCACUAAAACUGCACGCUGUCAUUUGGUGUUUCUGCUGCGCGUCCACCCUGUGUCGAGUUUUUAUCGAGGCGACUCCUCCUGGAGUAUAUUUUGUUUUAGAGCAAUAAAAGGAUAUUUAGACUUUUGCAAA